AGGAGUUCAAGGCCAGUCUUUCCCACACAGCAAGGCGGAGGCCUUGUCUGUAUACUGGGAUCAUAUAUCAGAAAACGAAACAACAAACCUUCUCCAUUUGGAGUUCAUUUUAUGGGUGUUGUUUGAGAACUCGAGGCCUCCAGAUGAAAUAGUCUGGGCCCAUUUUACACUCCAUUUCCUUUUGAGACCAAUUAGAUCCUGUGCAAAAGAGUUGUUUACACUUGAGAUUUUUGCCUUCCUGUUGAUAUCCCACUGGAUAAUUUGCUAGAAAAGUCCUUUGGAGAUGUUGGGGGAAACGCUGUGUUAAUAGGCUUCAGCAGGAAAACGGCCAUUUCUGUUACAAUGGGGGAAGUUCUGUGGAAGGGACUUAAUGUAGAAAUUAGAAAAUCAUUCUUGACUUUUCUUUUCUUAAUUAGGCUUUCUCCUGUUUCUCAGAGGAUUUAUCAAUUAUGCAAAAGUUCGGAAGAUGCCAGAAACUUUCUCAAAUCUCCCCAGGACCAGAGUUCUCUUUAUUUAUUAAAGUGUCCUUCUCUGGCAGAUGUCUUCUGGCAAAGCUUCCUGCACUGAUGAAGUCCCUCGAGAAGCGAGAGCACCUGCAGGAAGUGAAUCACCACCAGGAUGGAGGAACAGUCACCUGCUUUAAAAAAUAAAGUACUGUUGAAAAAGAUCAUUUCUCUCUAUUUGUUCCUAGGUGUAAAAUGUUAAUAGUUAAUGCAGAAUUCUGUAAUCAUCGAAUCAUUAGUGGUUAAUGUUUGUAAAAGCUCUUGCAAUCAAGUCUGUGAUGUAUUAUUAAUAAUGCCUUAUAUAUUGUUUGUAGUCAUUUUAAAUAGCAUGAGCCAUGUCCCUAUAGUCAGUAGGGGGCAAUCUUGCUUUAUUCAUCCUCCAUCUCAAAGCAGAUUUGAAAUUACAGAUUAGUGUAAGCUAUGGAUAAGGCUGGCUGUUUGAAAAGGGGUUUUCUCAAAAGUCAAAACUUUGGUUAUGACUGCAUUUCUGCACAUAAUCCAUAUUUCCUGUUCAAAUUAAUCUAGAAAUGCGUUUAAUUGUACUGUGUGUGAACAUCUGGAAGCAAAACCAUAGUGCAAAGUUCACUGUAAUGUUAACAAAAAAUGUCCUCAAUUGGUAAAUAAGCAUUACUUUU
rnacentral:lncRNA from 1 species